ACCUUCGGGGGCUGAUUUUUGGGCGCGGCUGUGCCCGUGGCCUAUUUUUGGCACACGGAGGCCGCCCGCCAAGUCUGGGGCCAUUCCGAGUCCCGCGGACGAACUUCGCCCACGCCCCCCACAUCGGCUAUAGCCCACCCGUUUUUUGGCCAUUUUUCCGCUGGGGGGUCUUGGGACCCCGACCUUUGGGGGCUUAUUUUUGGGCGCGGUUGUGCCCGUGGCCUAUUUUUGGCACACGGAGGCCGCCCGCCAAGUCUGGGGCCAUCCGAGACCCGCGGACGAACUUCGCCCACGCCCCCCACAUAGGCUAUAGCCCACCCGUUUUUUGGCCAUUUUUCCGCUGGGGGGUCUUGGUACCCCGACCUUCGGGGGCUGAUUUUUGGGCGCGGCUGUGCCCGUGGCCUAUUUUUGGCACACGGAGACCGCCUGCCAAGUCUGGGGCCAUUCCGAGUCCCGCGUACGAACUUCGCCCACGCCCCCCACCAAGGCUAUAGCCCACCCGUUUUUUGGCCAUUUUUCGGCUGGGGGGUCUUGGGACCCCGACCUUCGGGGGCUGAUUUUUGGGCGCGGCUGUGCCCGUGGCCUAUUUUUGGCACACGGAGGUCACCCGCCAAGUUUGGGGCCAUUCCGAGUCCCGCGGACGAACUUCGCCCACGCCCCCCACCAAGGCUAUAGCCCACCCGUUUUUUGGCCAUUUUUCCGCUGGGGGGUCUUGGGACCCCGACCUUCGGGGGCUGAUUUUUGGGCGCGGCUGUGCCCGUGGCCUAUUUUUGGCACACGGAGGCCGCCCGCCAAGUCUGGGGCAAUUCCGAGUCCGGCGGACGAACUUCGCCCACGCCCCCCACCAAGGCUAUAGCCCACCCGUUUUUUGGCCAUUUUUCCGCUGGGGGGUCUUGGGACCCCGACCUUCGGGGGCUGAUUUUUGGGCGCGGCUGUGCCCGUGGCCUAUAUUUGACUCACGGAGGCCGUCCGCCAAGUCUGGGGCCAUUCCGAGUCCCGCGGACGAACUUCGCCCACGCCCCCCACAUAGGCUAUAGCCCACCCGUUUUUUGGCCAUUUUUCCGCUGGGGGGUCUUGGGACCCCGACCUUCGGGGGCUUAUUUUUGGGCGCGGCUGUGCCCGUGGCCUAUUUUUGGCACACGGAGGCCGCCCGCCAAGUCUGGGGCCAUUCCGAGUCCCGCGGACGAACUUCGCCCACGCCCCCCACAUAGGCUAUAGCCCACCCGUUUUUUGGCCAUUUUUCCGCUGGGGGGUCUUGGGACCCCGACCUUCGGGGGCUUAUUUUUGGGCGCGGCUGUGCCCGUGGCCUAUUUUUGGCACACGGAGGCCGCCCGCCAAGUCUGGGGCCAUUCCGAGUCCCGCGGACGAACUUCGCCCACGCCCCCCACAUAGGCUAUAGCCCACCCGUUUUUUGGCCAUUUUUCGUCUGGGGGGUCUUGGGACCCCGACCUUCGGGGGCUUAUUUUUGGGCGCGGCUGUGCCCGUGGCCUAUUUUUGGCACACGGAGGCCGCCCGCCAAGUCUGGGGCCAUCCGAGACCCGCGGACGAACUUCGCCCACGCCCCCCACAUAGGCUAUAGCCCACCCGUUUUUUGGCCAUUUUUCCGCUGGGGGGUCUUGGGACCCCGACCUUGGGGGGCUGAUUUUUGGGCGCGGCUGUGCCCGUGGCCUAUUUUUGACACACGGAGGCCGCCCAGCAAGUCUGGGGCCAUUCCGAGUCCCGCGGACGAACUUCGCCCACGCCCCCCACAUAGGCUAUAGCCCACCCAUUUUUUGGCCAUUUUUCCGCUGGGGGGUCUUGGGACCCCGACCUUGGGGGGCUGAUUUUUGGGCGCGGCUGUGCCCGUGGCCUAUUUUUUGCACACGGAGGCCGCCCGCCAAGUCUGGUGCCAUUCCGAGUCCCGCGGACAAACUUCGCCCACGCCCCCCACCAAGGCUAUAGCCCACCCGUUUUUUGGCCAUUUUUCCGCUGGGGGGUCUUGGGACCCCGACCUUCGGGGGAUGAUUUUUGGGCGCGGCUGUGCCCGUGGCAUAUUUUUGCCACACGGAGGCCGCCCGCCAAGUCUGGGGCCAUUCCGAGUCCCGCGGAAGAAAUUCGCCCACGCCCCCCACAUAGGCUAUAGCCCACCCAUUUUUUGGCCAUUUUUCCCGCUGGGGGGUCUUGGGACCCCGACUUUGGGGGGCUGAUUUUUGGGCGCGGCUGUGCCCGUGGCUUAUUUUUGCACACGGAGGCCGCCCGCCAAGUCUGGUCCCAUUCCGAGUCCCGCGGACGAACUUCGACCACGCCCUCCACCAAGGCUAUAGCCCUCCCGUUUUUUGGCCAUUUUUCGGCUGGGGGGUCUUGGGACCCCGACCUUCGGGGGCUGAUUUUUGGGCGCGGCUGUGCCCGUGGCCUAUUUUUGGCACACGGAGGCCGCCCGCCAAGUAUGGGGCCAUUCCGAGUCCCGCGGACGAACUUCGCCCACGCCCUCCACCAAGGCUAUAGCCCACCCGUUUUUUUGCCAUUUUUCCGCUGGGGGGUCUUGGGACCCCGACCUUGGGGGGCUGAUUUUUGGGCGCGGCUGUGCCCGUGGCCUAUUUUUGGCAGACGGAGGCCGCCCGCCAAGUCUGGGGCCAUUCCGAGUCCCGCGGACGAACUUCGCCCACGCCCCCCACAUAGGCUAUAGCCCACCCGUUUUUUGGCCAUUUUUCCGCUGGGGGGUCUUGGGACCCCGACCUUGGAGGGCUGAUUUUUGGGCGCGGCUGUGCCCGUGGCCUAUUUUUGGCACACGGAGGCCUCCCACCAAGUCUGGGGCCAUUCCGAGCCCCGCGGACGAACUUCGCCCACGACCCCCACAUAGGCUAUAGCCCACCCAUUUUUUGGCCAUUUUUCCGCUGGGGGGUCUUGGGACCCCGACCUUCGGGGGCUGAUUUUUGGGCGCGGCUGUGCCCGUGGCCUAUUUUUUGCACACGGAGGCCGCCCGCCAAGUCUGGUGCCAUUCCGAGUCCCGCGGACAAACUUCGCCCACGCCCCCCACCAAGGCUAUUGCCCACCCGUUUUUUGGCCAUUUUUCGGCUGGGGGGUCUUGGGACCCCGACCUUCGGGGGCUGAUUUUUGGGCGCGGCUGUGCACGUGGCCUAUUUUUGGCACACGGAGGCCGCCCGCCAAGUCUGGGGCCAUUCCGAGUCCCGCGGACGAACUUCGCCCACGCCCCCCACCAAGGCUAUAGCCCACCCGUUUUUUGGCCAUUUUUCCGCUGGGGGGUCUUGGGACCCCGACCUUCGGGGGCUGAUUUUUGGGCGCGGCUGUGCCCGUGGCCUAUUUUUGGUACACGGAGGCCGCCCGCCAACUCUGGGGCCAUUCCGAGUCCGGCGGACGAACUUUGCCCACGCCCCCCACCAAGGCUAUAGCCCACCCGUUUUUUUGCCAUUUUUCCGCUUGGGGGUCUUGGGACCCCGACCUUCGGGGGCUGAUUUUUGGGCGCGGCUGUGCCCGUGGCCUAUGUUUGCCACACGGAGGCCGCCCGCCAAGUCUGGGGCCAUUCCGAGUCCCGCGGACGAACUUCGCCCACGCCCCCCACAUAGGCUAUAGCCCACCCGUUUUUUGGCCAUUUUUCCGCUGGGGGGUCUUGGGACCCCGAUCUUCGGGGGCUUAUUUUUGGGCGCGGCUGUGCCCGUGGCCUAUUUUUGGCAGACGGAGGCCGCCCGCCAAGUCUGGGGCCAUUCCGAGUCUCGCGGACGAACUUCGCCCACGCCCCCCACAUAGGCUAUAGCCCACCCGUUUUUUGGCCAUUUUUCCGCUGGGGGGUCUUGGGACCCCGACCUUGGGGGGCUGAUUUUUGGGCGCGGCUGUGCCCGUGGCCUAUUUUUGGCACACGGAGGCCUCCCACCAAGUCUGGGGCCAUUCCGAGCCCCGCGGACGAACUUCGCCCACGCCCCCCACAUAGGCUAUAGCCCACCCAUUUUUUGGCCAUUUUUCCGCUGGGGGGUCUUGGGACCCCGACCUUCGGGGGCUGAUUUUUGGGCGCGGCUGUGCCCAUGGCCUAUUUUUGCACACGGAGGCCGCCCGCCAAGUCUGGUGCCAUUCCGAGUCCCGCGGACGAACUUCGCCCACGCCCCCCACCAAGGCUAUAGCCCUCCCGUUUUUUGGCCAUUUUUCGGCUGGGGGGUCUUGGGACCCCGACCUUCGGGGGCUGAUUUUUGGGCGCGGCUGUGCCCGUGGCCUAUUUUUGGCACACGGAGGCCGCCCGCCAAGUCUGGGGCCAUUCCGAGUCCCGCGGACGAACUUCGCCCACGCCCUCCACCAAGGCUAUAGCCCACCCGUUUUUUUGCCAUUUUUCCGCUGG
rnacentral:lncRNA from 1 species